GACGAACGCUGGCGGCGUGCUUAACACAUGCAAGUCGAACGGGCCUGUCUUCUUUUUUGGGGGGUGGGUUGAGUGGCGCACGGGUGAGUAUCACGUGAGUAACCUGCCCUUCGGUCCUGGAUAACCGCUUGAAAGGGCGGCUAAUACGGGGUGGUCCGGUUGGUCCGCAUGGGCUGGUCGGGAUAGAUUCACUGUUUUUGGUGUUUCGGCGGGGGAUGGGCUCGCGGCCUAUCAGCUUGUUGGUGGGGUGAUGGCCUACCAAGGCGGUGACGGGUAGCCGGCCUGGGAGGGUGGGCGGCCACACUGGGACUGAGAUACGGCCCAGACUCCUGCGGGAGGCAGCAGUGGGGGGUAUUGCACAAUGGGCGGAAGCCUGAUGCAGCGACGUCGCGUGAGGGAUGGAGGCCUUCGGGUUGUGAACCUCUGUUUCCGGUGGUGAAGGCCCUGUCCGUGUGGUGGGGUUGACGGUAGCCGGGGAUGAAGCGCCGGCUAACUACGUG
rnacentral:rRNA from 1 species